rnacentral:rRNA from 1 species
UACGGAGGAUGCAAGCGUUAUCCGGAAUUAUUGGGCGUAAAGCGUCCGCAGGUGGCACUUCAAGUCUGUCGUCAAAGACCGGGGCUUAACCCUGGAAAGGCGAUGGAAACUGAAAGGCUAGGGAGAGGUAGGGGUAGAGGGAAUUCCCAGUGUAGCGGUGAAAUGCGUAGAGAUUGGGAAGAACAUCGGUGGCGAAAGCGCUCUACUGGACCUCAUCUGACACUCAGGGACGAAAGCUAGGGGAGCGAAUGGG